rnacentral:lncRNA from 1 species
GCACACUACAUUUCUUAAAGAAAAAGAAGACUCUUUAAUGACUUGUCAACAGAUAUAUAAAACUUUACAAGUUUUCUAUGAAAGAAAGGCAAUAAGAAGAUUUAAGAAGAAUUCACCUUGCCGAAAAGGAACCGCAGAUAACCAAAACUCUUCUGAGUCAAAGGAAGAGGUUGUAACACUGAAAAUGAAAGAUUGAAGCUGAAUUUUCCAAGGAAAGAGCCCAACAUUUAGUUGAAUUUGAAGAGCAAACUCUUUUCUUUAAGAAAGAAGCGAAACUGGAACUUGAUAUUGAAAAAGAAAAACCUCAAGAAAUAAUCUGAAAGUAUAAGAAAGAACAAGAAGAGCUACAAAUGAAGAUAUCUGACUUAAUCACAGGCGCUACAAGAAACCUAAGGCUGGAGGUGACUGCUCUUGAGGAAAAACUCCAUGAAUCCCAUAUUCGAUAUACUGAAGAAUCUGAGUCAAAGAAAAAAGAAAGUGAAAAACCUUAAAAAUUUAGUUGCAGAAUUUGAAUCUCGCUUGAAGAAGGAAAUUAAUAAUGAUUCAGUUUCUCAAGACUUGAGAAAGGAAAUGAAACAGAAGUCAGAUGAACUGGAAAGAGUAAUGCUAGCACAAACACGACUGAUACAGCAAUUUAACCAGUCCCAGGAAGAGAUUCGACCCUGUCAGCCCCUGUGA